GAUGAACGCUGGCGGCGUGCCUAAUACAUGCAAGUCGAGCGAACGGACGAGAAGCUUGCUUCUCUGAUGUUAGCGGCGGACGGGUGAGUAACACGUGGAUAACCUACCUAUAAGACUGGGAUAACUUCGGGAAACCGGAGCUAAUACCGGAUGAUAUUUUGAACCGCAUGGUUCAAAAGUGAAAGACGGUCUUGCUGUCACUUAUAGAUGGAUCCGCGCUGCAUUAGCUAGUUGGUAAGGUAACGGCUUACCAAGGCAACGAUGCAUAGCCGACCUGAGAGGGUGGUCGGCCACACUGGAACUGAGACAGGGUCAAGACUCCUACGGGAGGGAGCAGUAGGGAAUCUUCCGCAAUGGGCGGAAGCCUGACGGAGCAACGCCGCGUCAGAUAUGAAGGUCUUCGGAUCGUAAUGCUCUGUUAUUAGGGAAGAACAUAUGUGUAAGGAACUGUGCACAUCUUGACGGUACCUAAUCAGAAAGCCACGGCUAACUACGUG
rnacentral:rRNA from 1 species